GACGAACGCUGGCGGCGCGCCUAACACAUGCAAGUCGAACGAGAGAUGAGGAGCUUGCUCUUCAGAUCGAGUGGCGAACGGGUGAGUAACGCGUGAGGAACCUGCCUUUCAGUGGGGGACAACAGUUGGAAACGACUGCUAAUACCGCAUAAUGCUUUUUGAUGGCAUCAUUGAAAAGCCAAAGAUUUAUUGCUGAAAGAUGGCCUCGCGUCUGAUUAGCUAGUUGGUGGGGUAACGGCCCACCAAGGCGACGAUCAGUAGCCGGUCUGAGAGGAUGAACGGCCACAUUGGGACUGAGAUACGGCCCAGACUCCUACGGGAGGCAGCAGUGGGGAAUAUUGGGGCAAUGGGGGGAAACCCUGACCCAGCAACGCCGCGUGAAGGAAGAAGGCC
rnacentral:rRNA from 1 species